ensembl:lncRNA
AAAAAAACUGACUGCAAGGCUUAAUUAUCAUCUUUUGUGUACUGUUUUAUACGUAGUACUGUUGCUGUUUAUUGUUAUAUAUGUAGGCAUAUAUAUAUAUAUAAUAUUAAAAAAGCGUUGAAGUCGUAGUGUAAUGCUGAUUUGUGCGUGUGUGUAUGUCUUUCUCUCUUUCUUUCGCGCGCGCUCUCUCCCUCUCUCGUGAGCAGCGAAUCCGUCCUGAGUUUCCAAGCGAAAGUUGCAUGGAGACACACAGCGUAAGACGCGUGUAAUGAAGAGAAUGGUGAGAGAGGGAGAGAUAAAAGAGAAGGAAAGCACGAACAAACUCAUACCAAGCGAGAUCACAACAGAUCUCCACCGACUAGUCUGUUUUAGGAAAAAGAAAUAAGGGCAUCGGGGCGAUAUUGUAAAAAAAAAAAAAAAAAAAAAAAAAAAAAAAAAAACACUGCAUCGAUGCAACAGAAGCGACUCGGAGCCCUUGCACGGAGUUGGAGAGGCUGAAAUUAAUGUACAUUGCAUGCACUCCACGUAACGCUCCGGAGCGAUGCCUUUCAAGGGCUCAUUGCAUAGCUUCAUGGAAAUUAAAACGCCAUCUCUCUCGAGCAGGAAUCUCACAAAUCGUAAAUAUGACAAGCAAAAAAAAAAAAAAAAAAGCAAGACCAAACUCAUUUGUCUGACGGCGCUGUUGAGCCAUUUUACGCUUUCUGUCUUCGUUACAACUGAAAUUUCGCGAAUGGAAAUCCCUACCAUCAGAGGAACACCGGGUGAUGUUGGUUUACUAAACGAAGAGGACACUAGAUGAAAGCAUGCAUGGGAAAGAAGGAGUGCCACGAGGCGCUGAAGGAGAGCCGACACGGGGGGAACCCACAGGCUGCGCAGUUGGGCUGAAAAUACAAUGUGGCGUCAAGGGGAGCCUGUGCUCCUGCUCGACCUGCACCAAAAUUACCCUCAACUAGGCAUUUCUUUUUGAAUCCCACCCGCAGAUGGACGCAUCAGCGCGAAUACUCUGCUUUCCAGAGUCGUUCGAAAUGCAUCCUUAAGUUUCGUAUUCUAACUCCGCAUGACAGUUUUCCCGCCUGCUUUGUUCGUACAAUUCAGUUUGCAGUUAGAAGCUAAAGAUAAUAAUAUGGUAAUAGGCGGGCUGACUUGGAUUACUCUUCCGCCCACGUCAUUUUCAUUAUACAGCGCUGCAACACACUGUGGGUUUUUUUGUUUUGUUUUUUUCUUUUCGUUGCUAUGAACUGAAAUACUGCUCCGGUGCUGGCACACAUGCAUUCACUGUUUAUUUAUCAGUUCUAUUUACCUACAGAGUAUCACCAGCAAUCACAAAACUGCGUCUGUCAGUAGCCUACUCUUGACAGAUUUGUAACUUCAAGUGCAGCACACAGACUUCGCUGAAAUUUGGCAUAAAUCUGUCCAAGUCCGUGCUUUAGAGUGAGAAUACCUGCGCGUAAGAAACAACAGUUGGUAGACUCCGCUAUCGCGAUAUAUCGCGCCAAAGAGCAGUUACACUGUAACAAUGUAGCUCGUACGAGUCGACUUAGAUAGCAGAUUUCAGUUUUAUACGAGACGUGCAGUGCUUUCUACCCGAGUAUUCGUUAUCCUAGUUAUAUUUGUUGUAUACCUACCAAGAUACAUCAUCCAAAUGAAAUAAACACUGAAACUGGUCCAUUACUUCUAUCAGGAAUGUAAACCUGUAUUUAAUGAGCUGCACGACAUGGGAAACGAGAAGAAAAAAAAACGAUGUUGGUAACCUUGACCUCAAAGACCAUGUGGCUUUCUUUGUUAAACGCACCUAGUCGAGACAUGCCAAAAUCUUCUUAAAUAAUGCAAUACUGAUGGUGUAAUUUUGGUGGCAAAACAGAUUUCUCCGAGUCGUGACUGCUAUAGUGAGUAAUAUGGGCGCGUUGGCUGCGUCAGGAGAUGCAGUCGCUGUGCGCUGCAGACGGAAGGGGGAGAAUCGUGACUGACUGCUGGAGACGUCCGCAGACGAAACAACCACCCAACAAAAACAUCUUAAUGGCAUCUGUGCAAGAUAUUUACACAUGCUAUCUCUCUAGCCCGUUACUCUUUGUGUUGAGCCACCUCAACCUCCCCUUGCACCACCGAAGACAUGAGAAGAAUAUCUGUGAUUAAGGGACGGGAGGGAGGAUCUGAGUUUGGGAUGAGUUCCGACUGCUGUGUGUGUGUGUGUGUGUGUGUGUGUGUGUGAGAGAGAGAGAGAGAGAGAGAGAGAGAGAGAGAGAGUGUUUGUGUGUGUGUGUGUGUGUGUGAGAGAGAGAGAGAGAGAGAGAGAGUGUGUGUGUGUGUGUGUGUGUGUGUGUGUGUGUGUGUACCGGCCGGGGAGGGGGGUCCAGAUAUAGAUCGUGACCCUCCCACCUAGUACAGUUUCUUGUAUAUAGUUCCAAAAAGGGAUUGCCAGAGACUUUGUGGUGCAUUUUUGACAAAUGAUUGCUAUGUGGAUAUAGGAACAGGAAUUCUCUGGUAAGUAACAUUCAGCUACCAAUUCUACAUAGACUAGGUCUGUUAUUCUAAAGAAACCAAUGGUUGCUUGCCAUUUAAUAUUACUUUUAUGUUGCAGUUACUUGAACUAGUUGAUGUCAAAAGUAAGAUUAGCAAUGAUAGCCUAGUAAAUACAUAAGUAAAAUUCUUUAAGUCAUUGGUGUUGUUGUUGUUUUUUAUUUUUAUUUUGCUGUAGCAACAUGUGCUACAUUAUUAAAUGACGUUUCAUUCAAGAUAAUGCUAUUUAAUUUGUAAAUGCAUGUAACACAUCCAGUUUACAUUCAUCAGUAAAUGACUGAGGCUAUGAAGUUUUAGCAACGUUUAUUAAAAGAGUGUGAAUUAUUGUGCAGGUGGUUUAUAGAGACCCCCGUGUCCCCACUCAAUGGUAUCAGCCAGUGAACUCUCUGUGGUCAUGCAAUGAAACUGCUUCAGAAACCUGUCUUGUUGUUCUCGUCGUGUGGACGGUGAUUUGGUGGUCUGCUCUCUUGAUUUACAUGCACAAUCGUGGGAAGGGGUGUCUCGAACCUGUUUAUUCAUGCUCAUUUGUUUCUAAAGCCUGAGCACUGGCGGUAUACCGUCGCUCAUAGGGUUGUCUUAAGUAGAUCGCAGUCGUGAAUGCAAACUACUCUGUGUGCUGUAUUAGCAUCACGAAACACUCUGAGACGUGAGUGGACAAUAUCUGAAUGUUACAUUUUUAACAUAGUUUUAUACGAAUGUCUGGUCAUUUGCACCAACUAGGAUGCAAUUUGAUUUUUCCCUUUCUUUCUUUCUCUCUCUCUCUCUCUCUCUUUUUUUUUUUUCAAAAAGGGGGGUCCCUAUAUGAGCAAGACACCGAUUGGUGGAUGACGAUUUUUUGUUUGGACCAAUAAGAUUCCUCGCUGCUCCCUAUUUAUUGCGGGCAGAUUACAGACUGCUCUCUUCCCACCCAGAGCACUCCAGCGGCACUAUCUGCUCAUGGCUCUACUAAGCGAUAGCUCGAAUGAGGGGAUAUGUGACAUUUUGGCUGCAACAAAAGCAUCGCACCGCAAAGAGAAAGAGAGACCGUGCUGGUUUUCUUGCACGCGUGCAGAUGUAUUAUGUAUUAUAGUCAUACUCUGCAGCGCGCUAGGAGGGCUGAAAAGGGGGGAAAUAGGAGGGAAAUAAACUAACGGCAAAGGAGUGUAUUCAGGACCGUGGAGAGCGCUCGCAAGCAACGCACUGGCUUUUGGUUGUUGAACCCCCGCCCCCUCCCCCUGUGCUCGUAGAAUGUGAAUGAGUGGGAAUACACUUUAGGCACGGAGAAGCCUUCAGUGCCUCAGCUUGCCGAUAUCUGGAUACACACACAGCGCGAUAUAGGAAACAAGCGAGACCGAAAGCGCGAGGCACCUGGAUGUCACUGUUCGAUGCCAUGGACUUAAUCUGCAAGCGGACUGAAAUUUGUCUUUCGCGAAUCUUUUUGCGGUCUGGGCUUGCUGUUCAUAUGUAUCUAGCUGGGAAGCCCUUACCCCAAAAAGCAUUUGCGGAAGACGCAUUCGGCGAAUUUUCCAUCGGAAGAAGCUUCACAGAGCCCUUGGACUUUAUAUGUUAACAGUUGUUAUUAUUAUUAUUAUUAUUAUUAUUAUUAUUAUUAUUAUUAUUAUUAUUGUGUACCUUAUUUGACGAUUUUUUUUCCCAUUGCCGCUAUGUGUUGCGGCUCCAAUGUUAAAGCCGAACUUUUCCACCACUCUACAGUUAAGACUGUCUUAACGUUUUUCUAUCGCGAAUGCGAUUGCAGAAAGUCACCCAAACAUCACAAAUCCACCAACGGGUUUGCAGCUCGCACGUGGGAAAACACAAAGGUCCGUUUGGG